rnacentral:rRNA from 1 species
UACGGGGGGGGCAAGCGUUGUUCGGAAUUACUGGGCGUAAAGGGCUCGUAGGCGGCCAACUAAGUCAGACGUGAAAUCCCCAGGCUUAACCUGGGAACUGCGUCUGAUACUGGAUGGCUUGAAUUCGGGAGAGGGAUGCAGAAUUCCAGGUGUAGCGGUGAAAUGCGUAGAUAUCUGGAGGAAUACCGGUGGCGAAGGCGGCAUCCUGGACCGGUAUUGACGCUGAGGCGCGAAAGCCAGGGGAGCAAACGGG